CAGAUUCUCUUCCUCGUUCCUCAACCCAGUGCCGCCAUGACAGCGUCAAAGCAUCGGCUCCAGCUUCCGACGACGCGCUCGAGAUACUGCCUGACUUGCUGAGUUCCUCCAGUUUUUGUGUGUUGCACCAGAUUUUCAGCAUCUGCACUCUUGUUGUAGUGACUGAUUUUCUGUGUGACUUUUUGCCUGCUGUGAACUUUCAAAGCUGCAGUUCUACAUGACAACCACAGUUAAAAGUAAUCAAUCUAAAUCAGCUGACCUCGCCCUGAGAGUAGUGGGAUAGAUAUCAGAUGUCAUAACAAUAGAAGUGGACACUCAGACAAAGAUUGAAGUGGCCCAUGUAAGACGGCAGCCUUACUUGCAAAAUUGGUGAAUUGGAGAAUUUGCUGUUUCUUUUCUGCUGGACUCCACAUUAAUGUUUCAGCUGUCUUAAAAUGGAACCUCGAUGAAGAGCGUCAGCAAGAGCCUGCUUCAAGCUAUCUACAUUUGGAUGGUGGAGUGUGGUGCAGCUCACAGAGACAAUACCCGUGGCAGAAAGUACGUAGGCAGAACCUGAGUUUCCUUUCCAUCAAAACAGCAAUGCCAUUAAGAGGGUCUGGUUAUGUCUGAUAAUAUAUACAGUACGUCAGCUAUUUCCCAUAUGAACACCUGUUUCCUGCAAGAUCUGAUUGCUUCACAUUACCUGGGGAUAUCUAGGUCACAAAUGUCUUCAAAAUCUUUUGACUCCACUGAAGGUAUUUCUGGGGUUUUCUGUUAAAAGCCCAAAAUUGUAUUAUCUAUUUAACUGAUGAGCCUUUUGACAGGAAAACAUAUUUUUUAAACAAUAAAAUGAGCAGGUGCUUGCAUUUCCAUCAAUGGCUGGCUCAGUACAGACAGAAGCAAGGCAUCAGUGACGAUGCAGAUAUGACAAUACACAAGGGCUUCCAUGUUAUCAAUAUGCACCUGGUGUACAAACACAAAAUCUUAUUUAUACCGAUGUGCACAAGAUUCCACUACAAUUGACAUGAAGAUUUCAUCCCACAGGGUGCUUCACGUCUUGAAGACCAGGGAUACCCAACAAUAUUACAAUGAAUGCCAAGUGACCAUCAAGUAUGUGAUAGAUCAAGCAAAGGGCAUCGGGAAGAUGCACUUUAGAUAUCCAGGUGGUUACAAUAUGCAAUGAUCCACACAACAUUGGGCAACAGCAGGUUUGGAACUGCAAAGAGCAGCUGGGAGGCUGAUUCUGUAGAGGAGGAAGAUAAUGGGAAUACAGAGAAAGCUGCUUGCAAUAUUUCAGUGAGUCCUCAGAUGUAAAGUUUACUUCAGUCAUGCCAAUAGACCACUUUUAAAAGCACUAGCAAUGCCCAGUCUCCCAUCAACCCCUCCAUCCUAUGUCAUGAUCAUAAAGUAAUCAUGUCAGCAACCAACUCUCUGACAUUAGUUUAUUGUCCACAUCUAUUCACUUUUCCCUUUCAACAUAAAAUUAGUUGAAAGGCAACCAAGAAUUGGUAAGAUGGAACAGAUGAAAUAGUAAAUUUUAUGGGACUCAAUUCAGGUAAAAAAGUCCCUUCUAUUUUCUUCAUUUCUAACUUUUGCUCAAAGCUUUCGGAUUAAUAUAGAUGUUGGAUCCUGAGCAAUGGUGGACGUAAAUGCUAAGCCCAUGUACAUUGAGCUAUUUCUUGUACUUACUUGGAUGUUGCAAAGGUAAAAAAGGAAGUCCUCAACCCUUACAUCCAAUGUUCCCUUUAAGGUGUGUGCAUGCAUGCAUCUUUUGCUACUAGCGCCCAAGGAAUUUAAACUGCACACAAAAGGUUGUCACCCUCUACCACGUUUGCAUGUUAAGUAUAUUUCAUGAUCGUACACAAUCACAUUUCCUUUUCUGGUGUAUGAUGCGGAAAGUGUUGACAAUGUGGAGUCUGUCAAUUUUAGAACGGGCUUAUUUACUGUAUGUUGUUUUUAUUGAAGAAAUUAUUGAUUCACUGUGUUGAAUUGCAAAGAAGAAAAGGUUAUGAAGCACAAAAGAACUGCUAGUUUAUUUAAAGCAGAAUAUCUUAAUGAAACAGUAAAAGCUAUUGCACCAAAAGCUCAUGAGAUCAGGAACUUGCAGCAUGAGAAAUAUUUAUGCGCACAGUACAGAGACUUGUGUUACCUUCAUGUAUUGUCACAAUGCAAAAUUUGCUGGAGAAUUUACAAGUGGGAAGAAGUGGAGUGAUAUUUGGAAGCUUGACUUUUUAAAGUGUCAUUUAGCAAGCAAAUCUCAUAUGAAUGGUGUGCAAUAUUUCUGGUGAGAAAAUCUUUCAUUACCUGCUACAGGCCCACUACGUAUGUUUUGUGAGAGUGCAGGUGAACCCAGAACAGAAAUGAUCAAAUCCAGCAAAGGUCAAGUUUUUUUUAUUGACGGUGUUUGGCUAGCUGUUAAAAUAGAUACCUUUAUAUAUAAAAUUCAGUGUGCACAUAUUAUUGUCACUGGGCAAAAAAUUAUAAAGCUCAAGAAUUUUAUGCACACUGGUCAUUACAAAUUAGAGGGAACAUUGCUUGCCAUAACAAAUUGAGUAUAAUUAUAGUGGAGCUAAGAUGAGAGUAGUAAUUGUUGUCACAAGUCAUGGUCCAGUUCAUGACGUAUUUUGAGAACCUAACUAGAACAGGGAAAUAAAGCAAAGUGCUCAUUUGCUUAUAUCUUCUAGUCUGACUGCAACAACCAAACUUUAUCUUGUUAGUUAUAUUACAUUCAUAUCAAUCCAUUAAAUUCCAGCAGCAUUGAACAUUGCAUUUUAAUGUUCUUUUUCUCAGCUUCUUUCAAAUUCCUUAUGUAAUAUGACACCAUGUUAGUCAACACUCAUCCCUACCCCCACUUUCAACACACCUCCUCAAAAGCUUCUUGGUGCCACUUUAUAAGACAUUUACCUGAUAGUAAACUUUGAUACAAACAAGAAGAGAAUGCAAAGUACAAGGAAGAAGGAAAGGGCGCGAGAAGUUGGAGGUACAAGGCAUGUAAGUUUUCUCAGAAUCCGAAAUGUUGAGAUGUGUACUUCAUUGCUACAGGAUGUCACAAUUAAUAAAGAAAACUUAACCAUAAAAUCAUUUCUUUUGAGUCAGGUUUAGUGUUAAAAUAAUAAAAAUCUCAAGCCCAAGUGCAAUCUAAUUUGAACCUAUCCUGCUACCCAAUGGGCAACUGUUAAUCUUUUUAGAACUUAAGGGGAAAAUGUUUUUACAUUUUCUGAUGGGAAAAUAACACAUCGACUGCUAUUUGCAGCAAUUAGCAAAGUGAAGGAUAAGUUAGCCUUUAAAAUGAGUGAUUUGAGUACUGGAUUAAAGAUGCCUCAUGCAAUUAUAUAGAAUCUAUUUGUGAGACCACAUCUGGUGUACAGUUUUGGUGAAGGUAUAUUAUACAGGUUCUAGCAUGGAGGAUUUGUUGUAUGAGGAAAGAUUUAAUAGAUCAGGUCUAAACUCUGCAAGAAUGAAAGAACAUCUCGUUGAUACUGAGAAAAAUCAAUAAGCUCAAUACUGAAUGAAGGGAGGAUUUUAUUUUUGAAGGAGCAGUCCACAGCCAGGGAUUGAUCUUAUCCAUUUAGGAUGAGAUAAGGAUGAAUAAUCUUAAGAAUUCUUUGUCCCAAAGGCUCUUUUCUUGGUUUCAUUCAAAUCAAGAGACUAAUACAUUUCUGGAUAUUAAAGUAAUUGUAAAAUAAACGAUAGUGCAGGAAAAUGUAAUUGAGAGAGAAGAACAUCUAUGGGUAGAGUAGACAGAAGGGCCAAAUGAUCUUUUUCCUACUUCUAUUUCCUAUGCUCUUAUUCAUCAGACAAUCAUGGGACACAUAGUACUGUUAGGUUUGAUGUCACCUGCUGAUUACCUCUGUUAUUAGUGGAGAGUAGAGAAGUAGACGGCAUCUGAAGCAAUGUCCUCUUCAAGUUAUGUUCACUCAAACAGCUAUACAGGGAAAAUGCUGACUCCCAUGAAAAGGAAAAUGAUGGAGGGUCACUAAGAGUUGUACAGAGAAACCAGAAACCCUAUCAGACAAAAUUUCCAUAGUUUUAUGGAGAAUGGAGAAAUUCAGCAAGACUGACAGUUUAAAGUAAGUGUUUAUUGAGGAGCAGAUACUUAUGUAGAACUUGAAAUAUUGUGCAUUAUGUUAAAUGGCAACCCUGCAUGCUAUGAAUUUCAGCAAAUUACCUUUUUAUUUUACCCAUGGAAUUGCAAGCUAUCAAAGUUGUGAAGUUUUCAUCCAAAAAGUUACUCUAACAUUAAUCUCUUGGAGACAAAGAAUACUCAGCAAUAAUGGCACCCAACAAUAUGAUGAUGAAUGCUCAGUGAUUACCAAAUAUGUGACAGAAUAAGCAAAGAGCACCAGGAAGAUACAUUACAGGUGUCCAGGUGAUUACAAUGUGCAAUGCUCCACAUAUUAUACAACACCAGAACAGCUAGGUACAGACCACAAUCAUCAGUGAAUGAUUCUGAUGAUGAGUAAGAUAAUAAGAAUACAGAGGCAGCUGCUUGCAAUGUUGUUCAAAACUGUCCAAAUCUAUUCUCCGAUAAAAAAAGAAUGAAUGAUGGGCCAGGAAUUGAAGGUUCAUAAAGUGACUGGGUGAAGGAUGACCAGAAAGGAGAGGGAAAUUGAAAAGGUCCAGGGAGAAGAGUGGAAUGCUCUGGUGAGGCUAAAAUGAAAAGAUUGUACUUUGGGUCAAGGAGAAAAGUGAAAGAAGGAUGAAUGUGAAAUUUUUCUUACAAAAUGUUCUAUAUCUCACCUUUUUUCAUUUUCUGUCUAUCCAAUUAAUAUACAGAUCCCAAAAAAAAACAAAUAAAACAUAAUCACAUUCACGAGGAAAUCUGCAGUUGCUGGAAAUUCAAGCAACACACACAAAAUGCUUGUGGAAUGCAGCAGGCCAGGCAGCAUCUAUAGGGAGAAGCAUUGUCGAUGUUUUGGUCCGAGACCCUUUGUCCUGAUGAAGGGUCUCAGCUCAAAACAUCAACAGUGCCAUAAUCACAUUCAGCUGGCUGUCUUUUGCCUCCUAACUAGCUACUUGCUCUCUCCUGCAACAUUCAUGGGCAGAACCAACAAGUGCUCCUCCUGAGAAUCAUCUUCAUCAGAGGAGACUGCCGCUUCAGCUGAAGCAUUAUACUAUGGUGGUGUACUGGGGAGAGAAUGAUAAAGCUUUGUACUGAAUUCAUGGAAAGCAUGUGGAUGUAAUUGAAAAUAGAUAGUCAGUUUAAGUUCAUUUUGUCACUUGUAAUUUUUGCUGUCGCCAAUCUUCCCUAUUCUUGAAUGAUAGACAUUGAUGGGUAUUUCCAAAUUCUUGGUGCUUUAGGUGAAACCAAUGGAUAGUUACUGGAUUGUUUGUGUCAGUGGAUUGGGAGAGGAAAUGCAGUACAUUAAGUUGCCUUGCUCCAAUGUAAAUGACUAUCUGAAACUUUAAAUCAUUAAGAUAUGACUUUCUGACCAGUCGUGCAGAUGGUUGGCCUGGCAUUAGGGAUCUCAUCUUUGUCCUUCUCUUCCAUGGAAUCCCCAGAAGAACAGAGAAGUUGAGGAACUUGUUCUUCCUACAUUUUUCAUCCUUGCUGCUGUGGUAUAUUAUAAAGAAUAUACCACACAUUGAUUAACCUGAAGAUAAAAUACACUAAAAGGACUCCCUUCAACUUACUCAUUGACAUAUCAUGGGGAAUCUAUAUAGCUAUCAGCUCUGGCAAACAUCUGUUACAUGUCUUACAUGAUUAUGUCCAGCUGCCUACAGGACCCUUGGUAUGUCUCUGGUAUCAGAGGGAAGGAAUUGAGGCUUGGUGAUGCACCAUCAAUAACUCUCAAAGACGUGAGGCAAGAUAGGCUUUUAUUAGCUGGAAGAAAGCACUGUCAGCAGCAAGAGACCAUCACACAACAUCCUGGAGACUGAGGGAGGAGCAGAGCCUCCAAUCACCUUUAUACAGGGGUCUGUGGGAGGAGCCACAGGAGCAGUCAGUGGGGGGAGCAUGUCCAGACAGGUAUAUGUAGUUCACCACACUUGGUAAGGCUGAACAUGGGUCAGGUAAGUAACCAGUCCUUUUGGGAGCUGCUGCUGUCUAUUUUAUUUUUAUGUUAUAGGCCCUUCCAGCCCUUCAAGCUGUGCCACCCCAUCAAUUUGUAUUUAACCCUAGACUAAUCAGGACACAAUUUGCAUUGACCAAUGAUCCUGGUAACUGGUACCCCUUUGGACUGUGUGAGGAAACUGGAGUAUCCAGAGAAAACCCAGGCAUUUCCUGGGAGGAUGUAUAGAUUUCUUAUAGGUGAUGUCGGAAUUGAACUCUGAAUUCCGACACCCCAAGCUGUAAUAGCAUCACACUAACUACUCAUUUCCAUGACGCACCAAUAAUCUGAAAGGAUAAUUACAGUUUCAGGAGCACCUGUCAUCUGAGAAAUUAUGGCAGCCAAAACUCCAUUUGAUGACCAUGUGAUACUGCUUCCUGAUCUUGACUCCUGGGGUACCUCCUUCCUUUAUUUAACUUCCCUUCACAGCAUGCUACUGAUACCAGUUGUUUGUCUUUAUCAUCCUAAGUCAAGCACAAUUUAUAAUGUUAUUUCUCUGCACAAACAAUAGGAAUGGUGUCAUCACUUGCAUUUACAAUACGCCAAGAAUUUAACUACCGAUAGUUAGGUCAAAGUCCCAACUGUGAAGUUAAUAAAUGACAAAGAGAACUGAAUUUCUUAUACUGCGAUGACAUAACUAUGCCUGAUGUUGAGAAAAUAGAAUAAACUCAAAAUGGCACUGGCACAGCAACAUUCAUCUCUUUCUCUUUAUCAUGAGCUGAGACGUGCUUACUCAUGUCUGUUUUGGGGGUCAACCAACCGACAAUUGAACAAUGCAUGAUUUUUGGAGACCAAACAAAUUAUACAUCCCACCACUGCAACCAUUGACUCAGUGAUUCAUGGGUUCACAACUGCUGGUAACCAGCCAGUUAACUACUGCAAGAAGGUAAAGAAGGCUUACAUCAUGCUUGCCUUCAUCAGUAGCAGUGCUGAAUAAGGAAGUCAGCUAUAUAAAUCUUCAAUCAGAUUGUACUUGGACUAUUGCCUGUUUGGCCCAUUAUAGGAAGGAUAUGGAAACUGUGCAGAAGAGGUUCACCAGCAUGCUGCCUGGAUUCAAUGAUAUAUGCUACAAGGAAAGGUUGGACGAACUUGGAUUGUUCUCCCUAGGGUGUCAGAGGCUGAGAGGAAACUUAGUAGAGGCUUUUAAAACUAUGAGAGGCAUAGUUAGGGUGAAUAGUCAGAAUCUUUGCCUCUGGGUAGAGAUCUCAAACACCAAAGAAUGUGUCUUUAACAUUAAAGUGGGGAUGUUUUUAAUGCAGAGAGUGGUAGCUGCUUGAAUAGGUUACGAGGGGUGAUGUUAAAAGCAGGCAGUUUGGAGGAGUUUAAGGCUUUUAUAUGGACAAGUGAACUUGAAGACAAUGGGGGGGGGUGCAUAUGGAUAACACACAGGAGGAGGACUUAACAUCAAGAUCGGCACAACAUCAUGGGCCAAAUGACUUAUACUGUUCUACAUAUCUUUCUCAGGCUACAAUACACUUAUGGCUAAGAUUUACUUUUAAAGAAAAACCACACUGGAUUUAAACUGCUGUUAACAGAUUUUGUGUAUUUAAUGUUCUUGUUAUAAUUGAAUAAUAUUGUGUAAUGCCCUGGUAAAGGGUUCACUGCUAACAUCAUGGUCUUCCUGUAGAAGCAGGGUUUGGGUUACGGCUAGAGAUAACAGCUGCUUUGGAAUGCGAGCCAUCCAGUCAGGGGAGUGCGGUUUUUUUGUGUGCUUGACACCAAUGUGAGCUGGGGUCUUUGUCUGGCAGGAGGCGAAGAGAGAGCCAGUCGUAGGAUUCGAACAGUGGGGGACCGUGAUACGAUGGAGCAGGGUGCGCAGGUCUACCGGUGAAUAUAAUUUUUGGAAGAGUUGAGCUCCAACUUGUGCACACUUGACAGUUUAAUUCUAAUGGGCUCUUCUUGUUUUUUUCUUUAUUAACCCUUUAGCUAAAUUAACAUUCAUGAAUGUAAUUCCUUUAUUCAUAUGCAGCGUGCUGACUGUUAUUUCUUAGCACUGAGUUGUAACAGGGUAACAAAUUACACAACACUCACACAAACCGGGUUUGGGGUAGGAGUGCUGUCUCAGUCUCAUGGAUUUGGCAGGACCAGAGUGUGAAUUCCCUAGACUUGCGCAGCACAAGGAAACCAGGUUUCAAUUGUAAAUAUAUGUAUUGUUUAAUUAAGUAUUCUCUGUUGAUUACAUAAUUCAAUACGGGUUAUAUGUACAAAGUACAUGAAUGGCAUAAGUCAUUAGACCACCAUAUUGCAUGUGCAUGCCUCACCAAAGAAAAAGAAAGUAAAACAAAGUAGAC